rnacentral:SRP_RNA from 1 species
GCCGGGCGUGGUGGCGCAUGCCUGUAAUCCCAGCUACUUGGGAGGCUGAGGCAGGAGAAUAGCUUGAACCUGGGAGGUGGGGUUUGCAGUGAGCCGAGAUUGCACCAUUGCACUUCAGCCUGGGUGACAGAGCAAGACUCCGUCUCAA